GUAGUCAUAUGCUUGUCUCAAAGACUAAGCCAUGCAUGUCUAAGUAUAAACACCUUUAUACUGCGAAACUGCGAACGGCUCAUUAUAUCAGUUAUAAUCUACUUGAUCGUAUCCUCUUACUUGGAUAACCGUAGUAAUUCUAGAGCUAAUACAUGCAAAAGUUCCCGACUGGUGACGGAAGGGAAGUAUUUAUUAGGUCCAAAAUCAAUGCUGGCCAUUCCAAACUGGGGCAACCUGGGGUCAGGAAAGUUGAUGAUUCAUAAUAACUAAACGAAGCGCAGGGCUUGUCUCGGCGCUGAUACAAACGAGUUUCUGCCCUAUCAACUUUCGAUGGUAGUAUAGGGGACUACCAUGGUCGUAACGGGUAACGGGGAAUA
rnacentral:rRNA from 1 species